rnacentral:rRNA from 1 species
CUGAAAGGUGAGGUGGAUAAAACACUAUUGAUGAGUCUUCUGACUGUUACUUUUUGCAAAACAAAACAAUGGUCGUGGCAGAUUAGGGGGUUGCCCAAUAAGACUUUCCUAGUUAGGUUUCCCCCUUGGAAGAAAGUGGAGGAUCUAAUUGAGCUACCUGGCUUCUGCCUACCACAAGAUAUCUCUGUGAAAAUGACUGAAUGGAAAGGUGCAUGUGACCCUUUUGUGGAAUUAAUUGAAGCAUGGGUUUUGAUUGAAGGGAUACCUCCCAAGUGGUGCACAUGGAAAGUGUUUUCUCAAAUUGCAUCCCUCUUUGGGGUUCAAACGGAUGUAGAUUGGAAUGGUAUGUUCAAGACUUUCUUUCAGAAUGUAAGGAUUAAGAUUGCCUAUAGGGAUCCUACUAAAAUUCCUUUUGAAAGGUUAAUUGAGAUGAAGAAAAUGUUAUUUCUGUUGGGUUUUACUGUGGAAGGGUAUGAACAGGUUGGUGGUGUUGAUUUUGUCGUUGAUAUUGAUGUUGAUGAGGAAGAUGGAGAUGCGGAUGGGGUUGAAGAAGGACAGGAAAAUAAUGACGAGGAAGCUCCUAAGGAUGGCAUGAAUGAUGACUUGAUUGAUGAUGACCUAGCUAUUGAUGAACUGGAUAAAGCCAACCUGACCACUCAAGUGAAAGCUACUGGAUCUGCUAGUAGAACUAAGAGCUCUUUUUUUUCCAAUGCACUUUGCUCAGAUUCUAACCAUGAGAAUUUCAUUAUGGAAUGUGUUGUUUCUGCCAAACAACUUUCUCAUGUCUCACCCCCUGUUGAGAUGCUUGACAUUUCUAAUCCAUGCUUGAAGGAUAUCUGUCACGCUUCUCCUUAUGAGAUGGAAACUGUUAUUGAUAAUGGUACUAAUAUAGAUGUAGAUGGUGGGGUUUCUACUCCUAAACUGACUGAUAUGAGGAAUGUAUCAGGUGGUGAGAAAACUGAAAAUAUGAAGUACUGUGAGGAUCUUCUGAAUCUGUUGACAUGGUUGAGUCUGAUGAGGAAAAAUGUGAUGGUGUUGAUGAAGAGCUGGAGGUUCUCCCUCCCGAGGCUAUCCAAAUUAUACAAUCUAAUGGCCUAA